GACAGAGGGUGCAAACGUUGCUCGGAAUCACUGGGCGUAAAGGGCGUGUAGGCGGGUAGAUAAGUCGGGCGUGAAAUCCCUAGGCUCAACCUAGGAACUGCACUCGAAACUGUUUAUCUUGAGUGCCGGAGAGGAAAGCGGAAUUCCUGGUGUAGAGGUGAAAUUCGUAGAUAUCAGGAGGAACACCAGUGGCGAAGGCGGCUUUCUGGACGGUAACUGACGCUGAGACGCGAAAGCGUGGGGAGCAAACAGG
rnacentral:rRNA from 1 species